rnacentral:rRNA from 1 species
ACCCUUAGAUGUUCUGGGCCGCACGCGCGCUACAAUGACAGAAUCAGCAAGUAUACCUUUGUCGACAGACAUGGGAAAUCUUAGAGUUUUUGUCGUGAUGGGGAUAGACCCUUGUAAUUGUUGGUCUCCAACGAGGAAUUCCUAGUAAACGCAAGUCAUUAACUUGCAUUGAUUACGUCCCUGCCCUUUGUACACACCGCCCGUCGCACCUACCGAUUGAAUGGUCCGGUGAAGUCUUCGGACUGCAGUCACCUCGAGUGAUCGCGGAAAGUUGAGUAAACCUUACCAUUUAGAGGAAGGUGAAGUCGUAACA